AUUUCUCUGAGAUGUUUGCAAGCGGGCCAGUCCCCUGAGCCGAUAUUUCAUACCACAAGAAUGUGGCGCUCCGCGGUUAGUGAGCAUGCUCGGUUCGUCCGAGAAGCCUUAAAACUGUGACGACACAUUCACCUUGAACCAAGGGUUCAAGGGUUACAGCCUGCGGCGGCAUCUCGGAGAUUCC
rnacentral:other from 2 species